GAAAUUGAAAUCGCAGUGAAGAUGCUGUGUACCCGCGGCUAGACGGAAAGACCCCGUGAACCUUUACUACAGCUUGGCACUGAACAUUGAACCUACAUGUGUAGGAUAGGUGGGAGACUUAGAAGAUGAGACGCUAGUUUUGUUGGAGUCGUCCUUGAAAUACCACCCUUGUAGUUUUGAUGUUCUAACGUUGGCCCCUGAAUCGGGGUUACGGACAGUGCCUGGUGGGUAGUUUGACUGGGGCGG
rnacentral:rRNA from 1 species